rnacentral:rRNA from 1 species
AACGAACGCUGGCGGCAGGCCUAACACCUGCACGUCGAACGCUGAAGCUUGGUGCUUGCCCUGGGUGGCUGAGUGGCGCACGGGUGAGUAAUACGUGAGUAACCUGCCCUUGACUCUGGGAUAAGCCUGGGAAACUGGGUCUAAUACUGGAUACGACAUGCCACUGCAUGGUGGUGUGUGGAAAGGGUUUUACUGGUUUUGGAUGGGCUCACGCCCUAUCAGCUUGUUGGUGGGGUAAUGGCCUACCAAGGCGACGACGGGUAGCCGGCCUGAGAGGGUGACCGGCCACACUGGGACUGGGACACGGCCCAGACUCCUACGGGAGGCAGCAGUGAGGAAUAUUGCACAAUGGGCGGAAGCCUGAUGCAGCGACGCCGCGUGAGGGAUGACGGCCUUCGGGUUGUAGACCUCUUUCAGCACGGAAGAAGCGAGAGUGACGGUACGUGCAGAAGAAGCGCCGGCUAACUACGUG